rnacentral:sRNA from 1 species
AUGUACCCCCGUACACUCCGGUCCCUUCGAGCCGUCCGCACCCACCUGGCGGCUGCUCGCUACGUUUUGUUAGCC